GCAAAUGUGCUUUACUUAUGGAUGAAGAAACAAGCCUUUCUGCAUGAUCUUGGGAUCAUUUUAUCUGCUAAGCAUUGCAGCUCCUGUGCCCUUCUACACAUUUUUAUUUCCAGAGAAGGUGAAGUCUUCUUAUGAAGUGGAUUUGCUCCUUCAUCUUUCAGUACAUGAUGUCAGUCUCAAGCAAUAGCAGGCCUUUUAUUUCCCAGAAGAUACUCAUCACUGUGGGCAAACUAAUGACACAUGUUAAGGAAUUCAGUCUUAUGGAAAUCAUCUAAAGGUUUAGAAAUUAGCCACUGAUGAUCUCUAUCAAGAAGAAAGACUAUGCUAUCCUCUCAUUUGCCUUCUGAACAGCAAGAAUGAAAAUUCCAAAAUCAUAGUGGGUUUUUCAAUAUCCACACAGAAA
rnacentral:lncRNA from 1 species